rnacentral:rRNA from 1 species
UACGUAGGGGGCGAGCGUUGUCCGGAUUCAUUGGGCGUAAAGCGCGCGCAGGCGGUGGCAUGAGCCCGGCGUGAAAGCCCCCAGCUCAACUGGGGGAGGCCGUCGGAGACCGCGGCACUUGAGGCCGGUAGGGGAGAGCGGAAUUCCCGGUGUAGUGGUGGAAUGCGUAGAUAUCAGGAAGAACACCAAUGGCGAAGGCAGCUCUCUGGGACGGUACUGACACUGAGACGCGAAAGCGUGGGGAGCGAACAGG